rnacentral:rRNA from 1 species
AUACGUAGGGAGCGAGCGUUGUCCGGAAUUACUGGGCGUAAAGGGCGCGUAGGCGGCGCUUCAAGUCGUCUGUCAAAUGGGAGGGCUUAACCCUUUUUCGCAGACGAAACUGGAGAGCUUGAGAAGCAGAGAGGCAAACAGAAUUCCUGGUGUAGCGGUGAAAUGCGUAGAUAUCAGGAAGAAUACCAGUGGCGAAGGCGGUUUGCUGGCUGCAUACUGACGCUGAAGCGCGAAAGCCAGGGGAGCAAACAGGAUUAGAUACCCCGGUAGUCCUGGCAGUAAACGAUGUAUGCUGGGUGUGAGACUAGCGAUAGUUUCGUGCCGAAGUUAACGCGAUAAGCAUACCGCCUGGGGAGUACGAUCGCAAGAUUGAAACUCAAAGGAAUUGGCGGGG